rnacentral:rRNA from 1 species
GUGGGGAAUUUGGACAAUGGGCGCAAGCCUGAUCCAGCCAUUCCGCGUGCAGGAUGAAGGCCUUCGGGUUGUAAACUGCUUUUGUACGGAACGAAAAGCCUCUGGUUAAUACCCGGGGGUCAUGACGGUACCGUAAGAAUAAGCACCGGCUAACUACGUGCCAGCAGCCGCGGUAAUACGUAGGGUGCGAGCGUUAAUCGGAAUUACUGGGCGUAAAGCGUGCGCAGGCGGUGAUGUAAGACAGUUGUGAAAUCCCCGGGCUCAACCUGGGAACUGCAUCUGUGACUGCAUUGCUGGAGUGCGGCAGAGGGGGAUGGAAUUCCGCGUGUAGCAGUGAAAUGCGUAGAUAUGCGGAGGAACACCGAUGGCGAAGGCAAUCCCCUGGGCCUGCACUGACGCUCAUGCACGAAAGCGUGGGGAGCAAACAGGAUUAGAAACCCUGGUAGUCC